GGAUGUAGCUCAGCUGGUAGAGUGCUUACCUUGCAUGCACAAGGCCCUGGGUUCGAUCCCCAGCACCA
rnacentral:tRNA from 1 species